GGGACGACGAGAUGGCCAGG
rnacentral:miRNA from 1 species